AUCCAAAUCGCCGCCGCCGCCGGAGGAGGAACCGCCCGAGGGGGAAGAGGACGAGAGCCUCGUCAUCCUCGACACCUGUACGGGAAUCCCGGGAAUCCCGGGAAUUCCAGAGGGUUCCAGGAAUUUGGGAUCCUUGGGGGAGGGGAGGGAGAAUUCCCUGGAAUUUUUGGGGGGAUUUUGGGAUUUUUGGGGGAUUUUUUGGGAUUUUUUGGGAUGAUUUUGGAAUUUUUGGGGAUUUUUGGGGGGUUUUUUUGGAUUUUUUUAGGGGUUUUUUGGGAUUUUUCUGGGUUUUUUGGGGGAUUUUGGGAUUUUGGGAAAUUUUGGGGGAUUUUUUGGGGCAAUUUUGGGAUUUUUUGGAAAGAUUUUGGGAAUCCCGGGAAUUCCAGAGGGUUCCAGGAAUUUGGGAUCGUUGGGGGAGGGGAGGGAGAAUUCCCUGGAAUUUUUGGGGGAAUUUUGGGAAUUUUUGGGGAUUUUUGGGGGAUUUUUUGGGGAUUUUUUGGGAUCAUUUUCGAAUUUUGGGGGAUUUUUUGGGAUGAUUUUGGGAUUUUGG
rnacentral:lncRNA from 1 species